rnacentral:rRNA from 1 species
UCAAGUAAGUAAGGGCGUACGGCGGAUGCCUUGGCCAUAUCAGCCGAAGAAGGACGCGAUAAGCUGCGAUAAGCUGCGGUGAGGUGCAAGUAACCUUUGACCCGCAGAUCUCCGAAUGGGGAAACCCGGCAGCAGUAGUGCUGUCAUCCUCUAUGAGGAAGGGCACCCGGUGAACUGAAACAUCUAAGUAGCCGGAGGAAAAGGAAUCAACAGAGAUACCCCUAGUAGCGGCGAGCGAACGGGGCAGAGCCCAAACCGGGAUGGGAAACCAAUCCGGGGUUGUGGACUGCUAUCAAAUGCAUGAGUGAAGCAGAAUGAGCUGGGAAGCUCAGCCAGAGAGAGUGAGAGCCUCGUAGGCGUAAGCAAGUGCAUGGAGCAGGAUCCGGAGUACCACGGGACACGAGAAACCCUGUGGGAAGCUGGGGGGACCACCCUCCAAGGCGAAACACUGAUAUGGACCGAUAGCGCAUAGUACCGUGAGGGAAAGGUGAAAAGAACCCCGGGAGGGGAAUGAAAGAGAACCUGAAACCGUAUGUCUACAAGCAGUCGAAGACCUUUAUAUGGUCGACGGCGUGCCUAUUGAAGAAUGAACCGGCGAGUUACUUCAGCUAGCGAGGUUAAGCAGAAAAUGCGGAGCCGCAGCGAAAGCGAGUCUGAACAGGGCGUAUAGUUAGUUGGAGUAGACCCGAAACCACAGUGAUCUACCCAUGUCCAGGUUGAAGCACAGGUAAAAAUGUGUGGAGGACCGAACCAGUGAGCGUUGAAAAGCUUUUGGAUGAGAUGUGGGUAGGGGUGAAAUGCCAAUCGAACGUGGAGAUAGCUGGUUCUCCCCGAAAUAGCUUUAGGGCUAGCCUCAUGGCGAGAGUACAGGCGGUAGAGCACUGAACGGGGUAGGGGCCUAUCCGGCUACUGAACCUAAUCAAACUGCGAAUGGCUGUACUUAUCCAUGGGAGUCAGACUGUGAGUAAUAAGGCCCAUAGUCAAGAGGGAAACAGCCCAGACCAACAGCUAAGGUCCCCAAUGCCGUACUAAGUGGCGAAGGAUGUGGAAUUUCGAAAACAACCAGGAUGUUGGCUCAGAAGCAGCCACCAUUAAAAGAGUGCGUAAUAGCUCACUGGUCGAGAGACUCUGCGCCGAAGAUGUCCGGGGCUAAAGUACGGAACCGAAGCUUUGGCAAUUAACAUAAGUUAAUUGGGUAGGGGAGCGUUCCUGCAUGGGAGAAGCCUGACCGGAAGGACAGGUGGACAGGCAGGAAGAGAGAAUGCCGGUAUGAGUAGCGAAAAGAAGGGUGAGAAUCCCUUCCACCGAAAGCCUAAGGGUUCCUGGGCAACGAUCGUCGUCCCAGGGUAAGUCGGGACCUAAUCCGAGGCGGAGACGCGUAGGAGAUGGACAACAGGUUGAAAUUCCUGUACUGGCUGAGGCCGUUUGAGCGAAGGAGUGACACAGGAAGGAAGGCGCGCGUGCGAAUGGAAGAGCACGUCCAAGCAGGUAGGUCGGGAGACAGGCAAAUCCGUUUCCCAUAAGGCCGAGAUGCGAUGGGGAGCUUCUGGAGACAGAAGCGAAGGGGCUGGCACUAAACUGUCGAGAAAAGCUUCUAGUGAGGACUCAGGCACCCGUACCGAAACCGACACAGGUAGGCAGGAUGAGAAUUCUAAGGUGCGCGGGAAAACCCUCGUUAAGGAACUCGGCAAAAUAUAUCCGUAACUUCGGGAAAAGGAUAACCCAGCGUACGUGAAGUGCAGAAACGCAUGGAGCGGAGAUGGGUGGCAGAAGAGAGGCCCAAGCGACUGUUUACCACAAACACAGGCGUCUGCUAAAGCGAAAGCUGAUGUAUAGAUGCUGACACCUGCCCGGUGCUGGAAGGUUAAGAGGAAGUGUUAGCGCAAGCGAAGCAGUGAAUUGAAGCCCCAGUAAACGGCGGCCGUAACUAUAACGGUCCUAAGGUAGCGAAAUUCCUUGUCGGGUAAG